UGUAGGUGGAAGUGGCGGUGGAGGAGGAGGUAGCCAAUGCUGUUUUUUAUAUAUAUAUUUUUUUAAUUGGGAUAGCUCCCAAAAUGUUGGGAGAAAAAGACAACUCUGUUCUGCAGAGUAGCUGUUGACAUUAUAGUUGCGCAGGCACUUUGUUGACCCUAGAGAACCUCGGGCCAAUCGCACAUCCCCAUGACGGCGAGUUUGCAUUCGGAUGUCAUCCAUAUCAACUUUCAAUGCCAGUUUCUGCACCUACCAUGGUGACCACGAGAAAAGGGACCCUGAGAAACGGCUACCACAUGCAAGGAAGGCAGCA